GCCAGUGUGGUAUAGUGGUCUGAGUGUUGGAUUAUGACUCUAGAGACCAGGAUUUGAUUCCCAGCUCAGCCA